rfam:Streptomyces agglomeratus strain 6-3-2 1, whole genome shotgun sequence.
CAGCGCACUCCGGGGUCGGUGUAAUUCCGAACCGGCGGUUACAGUCCGCGACCCGGUCACCUCCAGUGACCGGUUGAACAGGUGAAAUUCCUGUACCGACGGUGAAAGUCCGGAUGGGAGGCAGUGCGCGG